CCUACGGGAGGCAGCAGUGAGGAAUAUUGGUCAAUGGCCGGAAGGCUGAACCAGCCAAGCCGCGUGAGGGAGGAAGGCGCUGUGCGUCGUAGACCUCUUUUGCCGGGGAGCAAAAGACCGGACGCGUCCGGUUCCGAGAGUACCCGGAGAAAAAGCAUCGGCUAACUCCGUGCCAGCAGCCGCGGUAAUACGGAGGAUGCGAGCGUUAUCCGGAUUGAUUGGGUUUAAAGGGUGCGCAGUCGGGCGUUUAAGCCAGCGGUGAAAUCGCGGGGCUCAACCCCUGCGAGCCGUUGAAACUGGGGGCCUUGAGUGAGGGGGAGGCAUGCGGAAUGCGCGGUGUAGCGGUGAAAUGCAUAGAUAUCGCGCAGAACCCCGAUUGCGAAGGCAGCAUGCCGUGGCUCAACUGACGCUGAGGCACGAAAGCGUGGGGAUCGAACAGGAUUAGAUACCCGUGUAGUC
rnacentral:rRNA from 1 species